CACAUACCGGAGUUAUCCAAAUAUCUCACACCUGCCUCUUGGAACAGACACCUUUAUACAUCAGUAAUGCUUGUAAGCACAGGAGUAAAACAGAAGGGUUUUUUUCUCAAAGAAGGUUCAGAAAAGCAGGCCUUCUUUUGAAAAGUCUUGAAUGAGCCCAUAGAAUAUGGUCAACAUAUCUGGUCUGGCACUAAUAAAAAUGAUAUUUAAUAAUGAUAUGAUAAAAUGAUAUUUAAUAAUGACUUAAACUGGGAAUAUUUUCAAUGACAUUUAACAACAACAACAUUCCUCAUGUUACAAAAUGUUAUGCCAAUAAUGUUAGACUACUGAAUUCUAAAUUCCAUGAAUACUACUUACUCUAAAAAGCUAAUAUUUCUCCAGGUAACCAGGGCUUUGGUUCAGCUGUACAUGUUCCUGAACCAGCUUCGCAACGUGGACUGGAGCAAGAGUUUCAGAGUGAUCCGCAACUCCCCCUUGCACUGCAGUAGCCUGGUUUCCCACAAUUCUCGUCACCUGUCCGCUUCUCAUCUGCCUAAUCAAUCCAGCUGUAUAGCGGUCAAUCUCCACUAGCACUCUGGCAGAUCCUCCAGUUUGCUUUUGCCCUAGCUAUCCAGCCAUUUUAUUAACUGCCUGCCUAGCCUGUCUGUUUGUACAUCUGCCUGAUCUUUGGACCUUGUAUUCCCUGCCUGCUCUUUGCAGGAUAAGUUUACCUGUUCUGCCUGAUUUACUGGGUUUUGACCAUGGACUUCAGUAAACUGAACUUUGAUUUUA